GUCGAACGGUAGAGGGGGCAACCCCUUGAGAGUGGCGAACGGGUGAGUAAUAUAUCGGAACGUGCCCAGUCGUGGGGGAUAACGUAGCGAAAGUUACGCUAAUACCGCAUACGAUCUAAGGAUGAAAGCGGGGGAUCGCAAGACCUCGCGCGACUGGAGCGGCCGAUAUCAGAUUAGGUAGUUGGUAGGGUAAAGGCCUACCAAGCCAACGAUCUGUAGCUGGUCUGAGAGGACGACCAGCCACACUGGAACUGAGACACGGUCCAGACUCCUACGGGAGGCAGCAGUGGGGAAUUUUGGACAAUGGGCGAAAGCCUGAUCCAGCCAUUCCGCGUGCAGGAUGAAGGCCCUCGGGUUGUAAACUGCUUUUGUACAGAACGAAAAGGUUUCUAUUAAUACUAGGAGCUCAUGACGGUACUGUAAGAAUAAGCACCGGCUAACUACGUGCCAGCAGCCGCGGUAAUACGUAGGGUGCAAGCGUUAAUCGGAAUUACUGGGCGUAAAGCGUGCGCAGGCGGUUAUAUAAGUCAGAUGUGAAAUCCCCGGGCUCAACCUGGGAACUGCAUUUGAGACUGUAUAGCUAGAGUACGGUAGAGGGGGAUGGAAUUCCGCGUGUAGCAGUGAAAUGCGUAGAUAUGCGGAGGAACACCGAUGGCGAAGGCAAUCCCCUGGACCUGUACUGACGCUCAUGCACGAAAGCGUGGGGAGCAAACAGGAUUAGAUACCCUGGUAGUCCACGCCCUAAACGAU
rnacentral:rRNA from 1 species